ensembl:lncRNA
GAAAGUAUAGCUUUUGUUGAGAAAGAUGACAUUUCUGAGGCCCAAGAUGUCUAUAAUAUGAAACGUUAAAACAAAAAAUUGAACACAGCAGAAUAAUCCCAGAAUUACUGAUAAAGCAUUAUGUACUCACUGUCAGCAUUCCAUGAAAAUACAUAUGGGAAUUACUAUAAAAGGCAGUGGCACCCAUUUUACAUGGAAACUUCACAGGCUUAAAUGUGAGCACAGCACUUCACUCAGCUCUCAGGAAUUCUUAAAAGUAGGAGAAUCACCCUUGUCUUCCUCUUCCUCCAUUCCAUUCACUGAAUAUGGUUACGACAGCUGGAGCUCUGGCAGCCUUAUUGCACAAUGAUGAGCUCCACAGAAUAAAAGGAGAGAAGCUGUGAACUAGAGACAGUCUGGCUUCCUGAUGAUGUUAUAGAACUGCCAUGCCAGCUUUGUAUUGCUCACCUUACCUCUGGAUUUUUAUGUGAGAGAAAUAAACUUAUCUGUAG